UACGGAGGUGGCAAGCGUUGUUCGGAAUUACUGGGCGUAAAGGGCGCGUAGGCGGCCAUUUAAGUCAGAUGUGAAAUCCCCCGGCUUAACCUGGGAACUGCGUCUGAUACUGGACGGCUUGAGUAUGGGAGAGGGAUGUAGAAUUCCAGGUGUAGCGGUGAAAUGCGUAGAUAUCUGGAGGAAUACCGGUGGCGAAGGCGGCAUCCUGGACCAUUACUGACGCUGAGGCGCGAAAGCUAGGGGAGCAAACGGG
rnacentral:rRNA from 1 species